UUCGAUAUCUCGCACUCCCACGAUUAUGUACUGUCGAUAAUAAAGCCGCAUAUAAAGUGCAUAAAUAUAUUUGAAUCGUAAGAAAAAUAUUAUGUCACUUCCUGCAAAAAUUACUUUCGCAUUAUGUUGUGCAACAUCGGCAAGUAUCAUAUUUUAUGUGCACUAUCAACAAGAAGCUGAGAGAAAACAACUUGAGAUAGGUGUAGAACGAGAUAUUCAACGACAAGAACAGAAUAAAUUAAAAUCAUUGUUGAAACAACAAACACAGUUGGCAGAUCAGUUGCGAGAAUCAUCAAAAAACGAAAAAAACCUUCAAACCUUAUAACAUAUUUCGCUGUUGACUUUAGGUUAGGUUAGGUUAUACAAUAUCAAUGAACAUAAUGACUACGGAAGAACCAACAGAACCAGAUUUAAUUUGUGUAGAAGAAAGUCUUAUGAGUUUAGAAAAACUAGAUAGAGCAUCACCAGAUUUAUGGCCUGAACAAAUUCCAGGUGUAAAUGAAUUUGUAGCUCAAAAUUCACCUCAAACAGAACCAUCUGCUUGGGCUGCUGGUCUCACACCAGAUGAUAUAAAUCAGUUACAUCAAUUAGGAAAUUUGUCAAUGGGUGGUUUAAUAUCCGAAGUAAAAAAAUUACAUGAUAUGGCGUAUCAAUUAGGAUUGGAAGAGGCAAAAGAGAUGACUCGUGGAAAAUAUUUAAACAUUUUCAAGCAUAAAUAGCAAAGGUUUGAUUAAAGAUGAUAUAUACGUAAGAAAAUAAUAAUAUAUAUGUAUAAUCCAUGUUACGUAUUUCUGUACAUUGACAAAGACUGAUGGAAAGCUGGUGGUUACAUUGCAGUUGGAACUAUAUGAUAAAAUACCUAACUGAAAUUUAUGUAAAUAUAUAAUUGUAAUUUUAUAUAUAAAUAUAUGAUUUAAUUAUAC
rnacentral:misc_RNA from 1 species